UACGGGGGGGGUAAGCGUUGUUCGGAAUUACUGGGCGUAAAGGGCUCGUAGGCGGCCAACUAAGUCGGACGUGAAAUCCCUCAGCUUAACUGGGGAACUGCGUCCGAUACUGGAUGGCUUGGAUUUGGGAGAGGGAUGCGGAAUUCCAGGUGUAGCGGUGAAAUGCGUAGAUAUCUGGAGGAACACCGGUGGCGAAGGCGGCAUCCUGGACCGGCAUUGA
rnacentral:rRNA from 1 species